GAUGAACGCUGGCGGCGUGCCUAAUACAUGCAAGUCGAGCGAACGGACGAGAAGCUUGCUUUUCUGAUGUUAGCGGCGGACGGGUGAGUAACACGUGGAUAACCUACCUAUAAGACUGGGAUAACUUCGGGAAACCGGAGCUAAUACCGGAUAAUAUUUUGAACCGCAUGGUUCAAAAGUGAAAGACGGUCUUGCUGUCACUUAUAGAUGGAUCCGCGCUGCAUUAGCUAGUUGGUAAGGUAACGGCUUACCAAGGCAACGAUGCAUAGCCGACCUGAGAGGGUGACCGGCCACACUGGAACUGAGACACGGUCCAGACUCCUACGGGAGGCAGCAGUAGGGAAUCUUCCGCAAUGGGCGAAAGCCUGACGGAGCAACGCCGCGUGAGUGAUGAAGGUCUUCGGAUCGUAAAACUCUGUUAUUAGGGAAGAACAUAUGUGUAAGUAACUGUGCACAUCUUGACGGUACCUAAUCAGAAAGCCACGGCUAACUACGUGCCAGCAGCCGCGGUAAUACGUAGGUGGCAAGCGUUAUCCGGAAUUAUUGGGCGUAAAGCGCGCGUAGGCGGUUUUUUAAGUCUGAUGUGAAAGCCCACGGCUCAACCGUGGAGGGUCAUUGGAAACUGGAAAACUUGAGUGCAGAAGAGGAAAGUGGAAUUCCAUGUGUAGCGGUGAAAUGCGCAGAGAUAUGGAGGAACACCAGUGGCGAAGGCGACUUUCUGGUCUGUAACUGACGCUGAUGUGCGAAAGCGUGGGGAUCAAACAGGAUUAGAUACCCUGGUAGUCCACGCCGUAAACGAUGAGUGCUAAGUGUUAGGGGGUUUCCGCCCCUUAGUGCUGCAGCUAACGCAUUAAGCACUCCGCCUGGGGAGUACGACCGCAAGGUUGAAACUCAAAGGAAUUGACGGGGACCCGCACAAGCGGUGGAGCAUGUGGUUUAAUUCGAAGCAACGCGAAGAACCUUACCAAAUCUUGACAUCCUUUGACAACUCUAGAGAUAGAGCCUUCCCCUUCGGGGGACAAAGUGACAGGUGGUGCAUGGUUGUCGUCAGCUCGUGUCGUGAGAUGUUGGGUUAAGUCCCGCAACGAGCGCAGCCCUUAAGCUUAGUUGCCAUCAUUAAGUUGGGCACUCUAAGUUGACUGCCGGUGACAAACCGGAGGAAGGUGGGGAUGACGUCAAAUCAUCAUGCCCCUUAUGAUUUGGGCUACACACGUGCUACAAUGGACAAUACAAAGGGCAGCGAAACCGCGAGGUCAAGCAAAUCCCAUAAAGUUGUUCUCAGUUCGGAUUGUAGUCUGCAACUCGACUACAUGAAGCUGGAAUCGCUAGUAAUCGUAGAUCAGCAUGCUACGGUGAAUACGUUCCCGGGUCU
rnacentral:rRNA from 1 species